AUUGAACGCUGGCGGCAGGCCUAACCCAUGCAAGUCGAGCGAGCGGCGGACGGGUGAGUAAUGUAUGGGGACUGCCCGAUAGAGGGGGAUAACUACUGGAAACCGUAGCUAAUACCGCGUAUUAUCGGCUUACCCAUAUGGGAUUAGCUAGUAGGUGAGGUAAUGGCUCACCUAGGCGACGAUCCCUAGCUGGUCUGAGAGGAUGAUCAGCCACACUGGGACUGAGACACGGCCCAGACUCCUACGGAGGCAGCAGUGGGGAAUAUUGCACAAGGGGCGAAAGCCUGAUGCAGCAAUGCCGCGUGUAUGAAGAAGGCCCUAGGGUUGUAAAGUACUUUCAGUCGGGAGGCGUUACCGACAGAAGAAGCACCGGCUAACUCCGUGCCAGCAGCCGCGGUAAUAC
rnacentral:rRNA from 1 species